CUCAGACACGAGCUCUCUCCGCUCUUGAAAUCGCUUGAAUUGUUGUCGGCCGCAUCGCUUGUUUUGCUUAUAUUAGCAAGUGUGGAGUGCAAACCAAGUAUCAGUAGUCGCCGCGGCUCCGACGUGUCAGUUUAAGGUUUGAUUCUCAGAUCGAUUAGUCGCGCCAAUUUGCGAAGCAAAGCAGCAGAGGAAGCAACAAUAACGACAGAAUGGCGGACAAAGUAAAUGUGUGCAUUGUGGGCUCCGGCAAUUGGGGUUCGGCCAUAGCUAAAAUCGUGGGUGCCAACGCCGCCGCCCUGCCGGAGUUCGAGGAGCGGGUUACCAUGUUUGUCUACGAGGAGCUCAUUGACGGCAAGAAACUGACGGAAAUCAUAAACGAGACGCACGAGAACGUCAAGUACCUGAAAGGACACAAGCUGCCCCCCAAUGUGGUUGCUGUGCCUGACCUUGUUGAGGCCGCGAAGAACGCAGACAUUCUGAUCUUCGUGGUGCCCCAUCAGUUUAUCCCCAACUUCUGCAAACAGCUCCUGGGCAAAAUCAAGCCUAACGCCAUCGCUAUCUCCCUGAUCAAGGGCUUCGACAAGGCCGAGGGUGGUGGAAUCGAUCUGAUUUCGCAUAUCAUCACGCGUCACCUAAAGAUCCCAUGCGCUGUGUUGAUGGGCGCCAACCUGGCCAACGAGGUUGCCGAGGGUAACUUCUGCGAAACUACCAUUGGCUGCACGGACAAGAAGUACGGCAAGGUCCUGCGUGAUCUCUUCCAGGCCAAUCACUUCCGCGUGGUGGUUGUAGACGACGCUGACGCAGUGGAGGUAUGUGGGGCCCUUAAGAACAUCGUCGCCUGCGGCGCGGGCUUUGUCGAUGGCCUGAAGCUCGGCGAUAAUACAAAAGCAGCUGUCAUCCGGCUGGGUCUCAUGGAGAUGAUUCGCUUCGUAGAUGUAUUCUACCCCGGAAGCAAACUGUCCACUUUCUUCGAAAGCUGUGGCGUAGCAGAUCUGAUCACGACGUGUUACGGUGGACGAAAUCGCCGCGUCUCUGAGGCCUUUGUGACUUCCGGGAAAACUAUCGAGGAGCUGGAGAAGGAAAUGCUUAAUGGCCAGAAGCUGCAGGGCCCGCCCACUGCCGAGGAGGUGAACUAUAUGUUGAAGAACAAGGGUCUGGAGGACAAAUUCCCCCUAUUCACGGCUAUCCACAAAAUAUGCACAAAUCAGCUUAAGCCUAAUGAUUUAAUCGAUUGCAUACGCAAUCACCCUGAGCAUAUGGAUACUUCCAUCAUGCCGACGCCAAAACUUUAAACUGUGUUACACCUAAACAAGAACAGUCAAAUGUAUAUUGUAAAUACUAUACCUACCCGCAUAGAUCAAGUCAACGCAAGUCAUCUCACCAACGCAUAUGCUCCUGGCAUUUAUAGAUAGACCAUAUACGAGUAUAUGCAUUAUGUCAGAAAAUUCGUUCCACGUCAACUGCAUUUACUUUCUUUACUCGCAAGUGACUUUCAAUGUGUAAAGUGUUUAAGUGUUAGAUAAACGAACCAAACCCAAGUGUCAUAGUUGUUGAACUUAAUUGGAAUUGUUAAAAGAGAAUGUAAAUUAAAUUGCAAUUUUUGUACAUACAUACCUCUCAAAAGUGUUCCUAAUUCAUUUAACAUUCAAAAAUUGGCAGCUUCAAAUCGGCAAAAAGAGCAAAAUUUGUAAACCACUAAAAUAUGAUAAAAGAAGCCGGAUCGUUUUUAACAUUUCUAUGCACCACAGAGAGUAAAUGUAUUUUUUCAGCACAACUCCAAAUCAAUGUAUCUUUGGAGUUCACUCACUAACCAGUUGACCAAAAGAUUGUAUAUAGGUUGUCGCAUUAGUUAGCUUAUUCUUUUUAAUCCAAAACCACGCAUAUCCAACGAACCACGGAAGAGGACUACUAACCAACACCAAAGUCUGCUUCAAUUUUAAAACUUAGUUUUUUUAAUCCUAACUAGCCAAGAAAGAAGCGCAAGUACCUAACAAUUAUAUUGUAAUUUUGUGGCCAAGAGUAUUACAGCGGUAAUCGAAGGAGCUAGGAAGAGAAUCUUAGUCGAAGUUAAAUUGGACUGUGUAAACACUAGAAUUAAUUGAAACCAAAAGAUCGUUGCAUAAAUAAAAGCUGAGUAGUUAACUGGGAUUUUUA